GCUUUGAUAUGUUAAAUAGGCACC
rnacentral:piRNA from 1 species